ACUAUGUCUACCACUCCGACCACCAUCAUUCUCAUCUACAAUUAACACUCAUCCACCUCAAUUGCCACAAAUGACCAUCCCAUCGCCACCAACAACCACAUCCAGCAUUGCCCAUCAUUAUAACCUACCGUCACUCACCCACCACUUUCUUCAGUCACAACUGUUAUCACCACCCGCUAAUAUUAACUAUCACCAUCAUCCUCAAUCAUAAUCGCCAUCGCUACCAAUCACUACUAGCUACUAGCAUGAACCACCAUCAUUACCAAAACUACCAUCAACCACCAUCUCUAGUCGGC
rnacentral:lncRNA from 1 species